UAACACGUUAGGCAACCUGCCCUUAAGAUCGGGAUAACAUUCGGAAACGAAUGCUAAGACCGGAUAAACGGGGCGCUCGCAUGAGCGCUUCGGGAAACACGGUGCAAGCUGUGGCUUGAGGAUGGGCCUGCGGCGCAUUAGCUAGUUGGUGGGGUAACGGCUCACCAAGGCGACGAUGCGUAGCCGACCUGAGAGGGUGAACGGCCACACUGGGACCGAGACACGGCCCAGACUCCUACGGGAGGCAGCAGUAGGGAAUCUCCACAAUGGGCGAAAGCCUGAUGGAGCAACGCCGCGUGAGUGAGGACAGCUUUCGGGUCGUCAAGCUCUGUUGCCAGGGACGAAUAACGGCGUGUCAACUGCACGUCUGAUGACGGUACCUGAGAAGACAGCCCCGGCUAACUACGUGCCAGCAUCCGCGGUAAUACGUAGGGGGCAAGCGUUGUCCGGAAUUAUCGGGCGUAAAGCGCGCGCAGGCGGUUCUUUAAGUCUGGUGUCUAGUGCGGGGCUCACCCCGUGAUGCACUGGAACGGGGGAACUUGAGUGCAGACGAGAAGCGGAUCCACGUGUACCCGCGAUAUGCGUAGAGAUGUGGAAGAACACCAGUGGCGAACGCAUCUCUCUGGACUGCUAGCUCACGCUGAGGCGGCGAACUGCGUUGGGGGAGGAUAC
rnacentral:rRNA from 1 species